CGAAAAGUAUAAUCAAUAAACUAAUAGAAAAAAACAUUGCGGACAGUUAUUUAUUAGGCUCGUUAUAGACAAAUGGGAUAUGCUGUAAAUAAAUAUUGAAUACAAUUGUUUUAACGAUUCAUGGAUAAAAUGCAAGUGCAUGCAGUUUAUUUAGACUUCGUGGAAUUGAGGUUGUGCUAAUGAGUUCUGCAAACGAG